ensembl:lncRNA
AUCUUUUAGCCAUAUGAUUGUAGACACUCUUAGUUUUAUGCCACAGAUGGAUAACUACUUAGUAUGGUGUGUGAGCUGUACAUACAUACUCCUCCUCAGAGAGCUAGCUGAUCUCCAAGAGCCCCAGGUCUCUGUGUAUAGGUGAUACUCCUCUACUGUCACUUUAAACAAAACUACUGACAACCGGUACAUUUUUCCUUCGAACCUGGCAGAAUUCUAUCAAUUGGCUCCUUUCCAGCCUGAUUCCUCUAAUUACCGUGCCUACUCAGGAUGCAGCCUAAAGAGCGAAGGCGUUUUCUCUUAGUGAAAGGCAAGGGGUUGAAAGGCCACGCUCUGGCAUUUCCGGUGUGCUGGACCAGCCUACGUAUCGCGGUUGCCAUAGGAACCUGACGUCAUUGCGGCGACCGUGAAGACUUAAAAUAGAGACAAACAUGGCCGGGCAAAAAGAGCGGGGUCCCGCCUUCAGGUGUUUGGGACUCAAAUGAGGGUGUGGGUGCCCCGCGGUGGGGGCUGAACCUUCCUGGGGUGUGGAGAGACGAAAGAAGCCCAGAUUCAAGUCGUCUCGUUCCCGCUUUGGCACAAGUUGCCCUGGCUGUCUCAUGAGAGAGAGAACUGGGACCCUCAUGGCCCCAAUGAAUGUAGUGUCUUGCUCCGGGUGUCCUGGGGCUACUUUCUAUGUAAAGGCGGGACGUGGGAGGAUGAGACAGUGUAACGUCAGACAAGGGUGUUGACUCUGCAGCACAAAACCAGUAGUUUGUAGAGACGAACGAAGUGUGGUGUUGUAUCUGCUAGAGAGGCUACUGAGGCAAAACUCAAGAGAUUCAGAUCCCAUCAUGGGGACACUGUAGUGUAACAUCAGAGAAAGGGUAGACUCUGCACCCUAGAACCUGGAGCUAACAGAGAAAAACUGUGAUGUGGACUCUGCUAGACAGGCUACUGGAGUAAGGGUGAAGUGAUGAAGAUCUCAUCAUUGGGACAUAUUAAAUUGAGUCUCACAGUCUUGCCCAGGCUGAAGUGCAAUGGUGCGAUCUCGGCUUACUGCAACCUCGACCUCCCAGGUUCAUGCAACUCUCCUGCCUCAGCCUCCUGAGAAGCUGGGAUUACAUGUUGGCCAGACUCGUCUUGAACUCCUGACCUCAUGAUCCGCCACCUCGGCCUCCCAAAGUGCUGGGAUUACAGGUGUGCUGCAUGAGCCACCAUGCCUGAUCACUGAUAUGAUCUUUACAAAUAUAUGAAUGUGUUAAAUUUUCACAUGUACCCCCCAAAAUAUGAACCUCUAUUAUGUAUCAAUUAAAGAAAUAAAUAAAGGUAAUAGUAAUGUUCAGAGAAAGAGAUAUGCUUGCUAAUUCCCAUUUUAUAGAUGAAAAACUGAGUGGCAUAGAGAAUAAGGACUUUGCCUAAGACUACACAGUUAGGGAGUGGGACAGCUUGGAUUUGUGUCCGGGACGUCCUGCUUCAGAGCCUAGAAACUCAUAGAUUUGUGGUUAGGUGGAAGAAACAGUCUGCACAAGCAUGCAUGUUUUAGGAAUGCAUUUAAAGUAAUACUUAGUAUGUUAAUAGAUGUGUAAAAAACUGGCCCUAGUAAGGAAAAGGUGAAUUCUGACCUUGGUAAGAUCACAUUCAUUACAAUCCUGGCAACGGAAGUCAUAGUGCAGUGGGGUGGGGGUUAAUGGGGAGUAAAGAAUGUUAACAAGGAAUGCAGAAAACUAUUUUUAGAGCUUUAACUUUGAAAAGGAAAGAGGAGAGAGAAGAAGGAGGAAGAGGAGGAGAGGAGAAGGAGCAGAGGGGAGGAAGAGGGGAAGGAGGAGGAGGGGAGGUAGGGAUAUAUUAAGUGGAAAAGAUAGGUUGCCAAAGAAGGUGAGAACUGUGAUUGCAGUUUUUGAGAAGACUAUGAUAUGUGUUGGGUGGUGAACAUGUUCAUGUGCACCUCCCCGACAGAAAUGCAUCUGAAGAGUAUGCAUUAUCCUAAGGGACAAUAGACCCCUUGGGGUCAGGGGAUAGGAGAAGGGUCAGAGAGAUGCAGGAUAAUUUAAAUGUAUUGAAGUGCUUUUGUAUAGUGUUUGAAAUUUUGUAUUCGGGGGAACAAGUAUUUUAAUAAAAAUUGAAAACAGAGUACUUGUGAUAAGAUUGACAAAAGUAAUCUGCACAUAUAUUCCAUAUUUUUUUACUUUGAAAAAUCAUUAAUUAUAGUCAAUUUUAUGGGGGAACAAAGCAGAUUUAAAAAAUGAAUGGACUAGCUGGGCACAAUGGCUCAUGGCUGUAAUCCCAGUGCUUUAGAAGGCCAAGGUGGGUGGAUCACGAGGUCGGGAGUUUGAGACCAGCCUGGCCAAUAUGGUGAAACCCUGUCUCUACUAAAAUAAUAAUAAUAAUACAGAAGGAUUGACCAGGCCUGUGGUGUGCGCCUGUGGUCCCAGCUACUUAAGAGGCUGAGGCAGGAGAAUCACUUGAACCUGGGAGGCCGAGGUUACAGUGAGCUGAGAUCACACCACUGCACUCCAGUCUGGGCGACAGAGUGAGACUCCAUCUCAAAAAAAAAAAAAAAUGAAUAGAGUGGGUAUGUGUGUGUGUGUGUGUCUGUAUAUGUUUCUCAAUAGUCUAGCUUUACUACCUCAAAUACAGCUCACAGUUGCAGUAUUUUCAGUUCAGACCAUGACUGGCUUCUGAUCUCAGAUUUAGAUAUCCCACAAAAAGUGCUUCUGUUAAUAUUCCAGAAAAAAAUGAUGAAUACAGAGGGAUAGCUGGAGGUAAGUGAAAAGUUCCAGAAAACCAUGUCUGAUCCCAUUAAUCAAGCUCCCAACUUUCAUCCCUCCCUCCUUUCUGCUGAGUUCCUUGGUCUACACUCAGAGUUGCAAUUCUGACUCUGGCCACCAAGAACCAUUACAACUAUCUCCACGUUCCGCACUCUUUUUAAAUGAAAAGGGAUAAAUUUUACAGAGUAAGUAAUGUUAUGAACCUUCUCUUCACUGUGAUACCAGUAGUUUGGAAUACCCAUUUGUAUAUUAAAGCAGGC